CACGCAUGACACACUGCAUAUCAAUAAGCGGAGGAAAAGAAACUAACAAGGAUUCCCUUAGUAACGGCGAGUGAAGCGGGAAGAGCUCAAAUUUGAAAUCUUCAAGGUUCUACCUUGACGAAUUGUAGUUUAUAGAAGUGUUUUCUGUUAGUAGAGUGGCAAAAGUUCUUUGGAAUAGGACAUCAUAGAGGGUGAGAAUCCCGUAUUUGGUCAUUCCUCCUAGCUUUGUGAUACACUUUCAACGAGUCGGAUUGUUUGGGAAUGCAGUCCAAAAUGGGUGGUAAAUUUCAUCUAAAGCUAAAUAUUGGCGAGAGACCGAUAGCGAACAAGUACCGUGAGGGAAAGAUGAAAAGAACUUUGAAAAGAGAGUUAAACAGUACGUGAAAUUGUCAAAAGGGAAGCGUUUGACACCAGUGUUGUUUUUCCGAAAAUCAAUUACGAAUGUUCUGUUUUUGAGAAGUUAUGACUUCAUCGGCUUGCUUCUUUCUUUACGAAACUUUCUUAAUGCACUUUUCGGUUAACAAGUCAACAUCAAUUUCUUUUGUUGUAAAAGGGUACGAGGAAGGUGGCUUUCUUUUCGGAGAAAGUGUUUAUAGCCUUGUACCUCUGCAAUCGGAGAGAUUGAGGUCUGCAGCGUAGAUCCUUCGGGGUUAGAUACAUUUGUGCUAAGUUAUAGCUUUUCAUAGACAACUUGUUGACUAUGUUAAGUCUUGUAGCUUACUCGCUUAUGCUAUUUUACCUACGCUUAGGAUGUUGACGCGCGUGUGUGCGUG
rnacentral:rRNA from 1 species